rnacentral:snRNA from 1 species
GUGCUCACUUUGGCAGCAUAUACACUAAAAUUGGAACAAUACAGAGAAGAUUAGCAUUGUCCCUGAGCAAGCAUGACACACAAAUUCAUGAAGCAUUUCAUAUUUUA